CCUACAUCUUUCUCCCGUGCUGGAUGCUUUCUGCCCUCGAACAUCAGACUAGAAGUUCUUCGGUUUUGGAACUCGGACUGGCUCUCCUUGCUCCUCAGCCAGCAGAAGGCCUAUUGUGGGACCUUGUGAUCGUAGUUGAAGUGAUGGAAGUCCUUCCUGUGGACAGCCCUGGGAAAGCAGGUAAGCGCUUCUGUGACCAAGAAAGUUGUAACGACAGUGGAGUCCAGCAUGUGUGUGGGUGUGUCUGUCCUCUUUAAAUUGCUACCGCUGAGAGUCCCAGGCCCCAGCCACGUCAGCCUGAGAUGGGGUUCUCCACUGGGGAUCCCACCCACUCAAGCUCUGCUGGCCCCUUCUCCAGCAAACUCUAGAGGAGAACUCACUCCCUUUGGGGGAGACAGGCUGAAGCAUAAGCUGACCCAGGUCAGAGAGCAGAUCUCCAAACCACAGCCGCUCCCAUGCUCUGGGGAAGCUGGGAGUUGACUGCAGAAGACUCCAGGUCUGGGACUCUGAUCUUCCUGGGGGCAGUAGCCCAAGCUGCUGGGCUGGCUUAGGGUCCAUCUCUGCCAACCUUCCUCCCCCUGGAGCACCAGGACCCACCUGCAGGCAGGCCUAUCCCAUCUGCACUCAGCAGGGGAAGCUGUCCUCUGCCCUUCCAACAGCAGAACCUGGCACUCAGGCCAAACCCUGCUCACAGUGCAGGUGUGGGGCAAAAUGAGGUCUCUUAAGUGCUGAUGGGCAAAUGGCCUGGGUCCCAUCCUGAAGUGGAAUCCCCAACGGAAUACAAUGGAUGGAGCUUCCCAUGCCUGGUGGUGACUCACUGUCUCCACAUUACACAUACCUAUUUAUACACAAACACACCACAAGUGUGCCCAUGUGACAUUGCCCACCCCACACACACCCAAACACAGACACAGCCUAUACAUCACACCUCCUGAGUUACAAAAGGCACAACCCUCCUCAAACACACAUCCAUCCUCCGGCACACACCCAGUCCAUGCCUCGCCCCCACACACACCUGACACCCCAGUGCAACACCACACCCACCCUCCCCUCCCUGCAAACUCCCACCUCCGCCCACCUGCUUAAUACACAUUCUCACCCCCCACACACUCCUUAAUACAUACUCUCACACCCACAAGCCUGCCUUCUUGGAGAAGUGAGCCGAGCCGUGCAGCGCCGCGAAGGGCAUCCCCGAAGACCGGGAGGAACGCCGCGGGGACCUGUGGCUUAGCGCGCUCCGCCCGGGCUUGUCUGCCCGCGGGGGCGCAGCGGCUGAGGCGGCUCCGGGCCGGAGUUCCAAUCAAGCGCCACCCAACUCCCAGUCGGGGGCCGAGGCCAGCGCCGGGAUGCCAGCUUCCCCCAAAAAGAUCCUGCCUCAGGGAAAUGCAUGGAGCCGGCGGAAAAGCCCGCGGCGCCCCCGGCGGAUCGCAGACCCUAAGGGGGCGGGAGGUGGCGCCCCAGUCCCAACCUCUUGAGCCAACCCAGUGGGUGGGAAGUGCCCUUACCCUAGGCCUUCCGCAAAGUGUUCUCUCCUUGUAUUAUUCUAAUUACGGUAUUUUUAAUUUCCUUAAAAAAAUAAGAAACAGAAAAGCACAGAACGCA
rnacentral:lncRNA from 10 species